UACGGAGGGUGCAAGCGUUGCUCGGAAUUAUUGGGCGUAAAGGGCAGGUAGGUGGUCUCAUUUGUCUGGGGUGAAAGCCUUGGGCUUAACUCAAGAAGUGCCCCAGAAACGGUGAGACUGGAGUCCUGGAGAGGGUCGUGGAAUUCCCGGUGUAGCGGUGAAAUGCGUAGAGAUCGGGAGGAACACCAGAGGCGAAAGCGGCGACCUGGACAGGCACUGACACUCAACUGCGAAAGCGUGGGGAGCAAACAGG
rnacentral:rRNA from 1 species